rnacentral:piRNA from 1 species
UCCUAGACCUUGUGGGUGGCGCCCUGC